UCAACCUUUUUCUAUUAAAUGUACUGCUCUAAGGAACAUCUGUGUUCACUGAUAACCUAUUUAUCAAGUAUUUCUGAAGAUAAUCAUUUGAAAAGAGUGUAUAGUGUUUAAACCCACAGGAAUGAGUUUUUCUCAAAGUGAGCAUCUUUGAGUGCCAGAUGAGUAGACUGAAGCACAGUGAUUAACAAACAUGACCUAGGUCGUCUGGUGGAUAUAAAUUACAACUUUUAAACACAAUAUUUGUAAACUUGGAAGAGAAUGAUAAAAACCAUAUUUUGGAAAGAUUAAAUGAUAGUGAUGUGCAGAGUUAAAACCCAAAUGUGAGUAACUAUUUACCAAGGUCUUACCCUGUACUACAAACUGCUUUAGAAACUAGGGAUGCAGUGCUGGCGCAGACCAAAUCCGUGCCCCUCAUGAGGGAAGAGCUCCAGCCAGAGAGUUGUGGAAUGAGCAUCAAGCUGCAUACCUGCAGAUUAUUUCUACUGCCUUGAAGAAAAUGAAGUACCAUCUAGGGGAGGGGUGAGGAGGCUUUUCGAGGCUGGGUAAGAAGGGACAUUUGAGAAGAAAGCACCAUGUGAAGAUAUUAUAGAAGAAUGUCCCUUCAGAGGGGACAUUAAAUUGAAGGUCCCUGUGGGGAAGGAGCUCUGCGUAGCCUAGUGAGCGAGGGGCUUACAGAGAGAAAGGAAGGUGGGGAGGUCAUGAAGGCCGAAAGGGUUGGAUUUUAUCCCAGGUGUAAUGGAAAGUCAGAGCAGUCAUGUAAAGCUCUUUUGAGGGGGGGCACCUGGGUGGCUCCAUCAGUUAGGCAUCUGACUCUUGGUUUUGGCUCAGGUCAUGA